rnacentral:misc_RNA from 1 species
GAAAUGCGAUAAGUAAUGUGAAUUGCAGAAUUCCGUGAAUCAUCGAAUCUUUGAACGCACAUUGCGCCCUCUGGUAUUCCGGGGGGCAUGCCUGUCCGAGCGUCAUUGCGAACCCCUCAAGCACGGCUUGUGUGAUGGGCCCUCCCGCGUCUUGGUCGUCAAGACGGGCCCGAAAUGCAGUGGCGGCUUCGCGGUUAUCCGAUCAGCCAGAGCGUAUGGGGACUUUCUCUCUGUCACACGCCCGCGGCGCGGACCGACGCCUGUCGACCUUCAUUCAUCGUUUUCUCGAUUGACCUCGGAUCAGGUAGGGAUACCCGCUGAACUUAAGC